rnacentral:rRNA from 1 species
GUAACACGUAGUCAACCUGCCCUGGAGACGUGGACAACCCCGGGAAACUGGGAUUAAUCCGCGAUGGGUCAUCUCAUCUGGAAGGAGAGAUGGCUGAAAGGGGCGCGCGGGCUUCUUCCGUGCAUCCGCUCCAGGAUGGGACUGCGUCCGAUCAGGCUGUUGGCGGGGUAAUGGCCCACCAAACCUGUAACCGGUACGGGCUUUGAGAGAAGGAGCCCGGAGAUGGACACUGAGACAAGGGUCCAGGUCCUACGGGGCGCAGCAGGCGCGAAACCUUCGCAAUGUGCGAAAGCGUGACGAGGUUAGUCCGAGUGGUCUCCGCUGAGGAAACCUUUUGUCAGCUCUAAAAAGGCUGGCGAAUAAGGGGAGGGCAAGCCUGGUGUCAGCCGCCGCGGUAAUACCAGCUCCUCGAGUGGUCGGGGCGAUUAUUGGGCCUAAAGCAUCCGUAGCCUGUUCCGUAGGUCUUCUGUUAAAUCCAACUGCUCAACGGUUGGCCCGCAGGAGAUACCGCGGGACU